UUGACUCUGACAGCAGUUUUUGUUUCUUUAUUCCUUAUUACACAUGAAAGACAUCCUGCUCAAUUGAUCUUUCAUAUUAUUAUUUAAUUGAACAGUAUGGGGAACAGAUUUUUAUUAAUCUACAUAACUGCAUUAGCUAAGAUUUUGUAAAAGCGAGCGGUUAUUUUUUUAACAUCUUUUUUUCAUAAAUUUCCAUCAUCAAAAAAUUACCUUGCAAGGUAUCUCAAAUGGGGACCCAAACCUGCAAAAACAUUUUUUCUGAAGAAUUUAUUUUCCAGUAGCAAGGCUUCCCAAAGGAGAGGUUGUGGUCUGUCAGAUGCACAGGAAAGAAAAGUACUGCUUUGAUUAACUACUGAAAGCUCUGAAUGCAACUGAAAUGAUGUUAUUCCACUGGAGUCAGCAUGGAGACACCACAUGGAUGAUCAGCUCUCAAAGCCUCUCAUUUCACCAUGGAGCUGUACCCAGAAGUGUUUACACCUCUUCUAUUGUGCCAGGAGGAGCAGAGUUAGAAGCGAGAGUAAGCUGGCCUUGAAGGUCAGCAAUCCUCUCUGACAUAAGCACACAAACACAGACAUGAUUCACAGUAGCUGCAGGGAUGGCUGCAGUUCUACCAGGGCAUCAAUAACCAGGGAUUAUACUUUCCCUGGGUCUCCUGAGAUCUUCCCUAUCACAGUUUGGUUACAUGGUUUGUUUACACUUAGGGCCACAUCCAAAUAAUUCUCGAAGUUGAAAAGCAGGCUUAGACAGGAUUUUAGGCACCCAGUCACAAAAGGCAAUUCAGAUGAACCCUGCUCCAUAAGUCCAAAACAUAAGCAAAGGAGGUGUAAGCACACUUGGCUACCCAAUGAACCAGCUUCAACAGGAGGCAGGAGAGAACCCCUGUUUUAACUUUUCUAUAGUCUAGUGGUUAGGGUACUCACUUCAGAACUAGGAGAUGUGAGUUUGCAUUUUUUCAAGCUGGGGUGAGUCUAAUAUCCAAUAUCCCUUUUCCGGGCCUAACCACCAGGCUUUAUGCAGAAUACCACCACUGGCUGUGCUCAGUGGUAAAAGUUGCUAUGCAUGUUACACUUAGCUGAAUGCUCUUCUGAGUGUGAACUCCCAUUUGGCCACUAUCAGAGAUGGCUAUUAUGUUGUGUAGCUUUGGAUAGAGCCCCUCAAAACUGAAGAAAAGAUAAGGCUCAGAUACAACCGUGUGCCUAGCAUUCCCUUCUGGCUAAAGGUAGGCAUCUUCCUAAUGAAACUCUGGGGGCCCUGCAUCACCCUUUGAAGCCUGGAAAUUCUCUCCAUUCAUUCUACGAGGAUCCUACAUGACCAGACUUGUUGAUUCAUACUGUGCUCCUGGGCCCUCUUGGCCUGGGCUGUCUAAGUCUUGAGCAUUGCAAUGCUUCAUGAGUAACAACAAUUUUCUUUUACCUGGUAAAAUGAAACAUUACCCCAUGUUUUAAAUUUUUUUAAACAAAUUUUUGAUUUCUUAGGCUGGGCAAAAGUGGCAGUAAUUUUAUCCGUGCAAAACUUUGUGGACUCUUUUUUCCUCUAAAUCCCAAAUGGAAAAACUUUAACAUCAGAAUCCCAUUGUAAUUUACCCCUGACAUUUGACUUGGUAGAAUGAAUAGUUCUAAUUUAGGGUCAUCUCUAAGGAUUCAUAUUUAAUAGCCACCAUUACAUGUUCUAUGAUAUUCUACUAAAAAUAUAAGUAAAGUAUACUUCUAUGCAGAAACCCCCUUUCUUUUAGUUCCUAAAUCUUUGAGCAUUUGUGCAAAAUGGAAUGUAUUAUACUUUUGGCUGAAUAUGAGGAAAUUACAUGGACAGACACCUUAUGAUGAGAUUGAAUUUAAAGAUAUAUUGGGCAUCAUAUUGGGCCUUUAAAAAUGUCCUCAGCAAAACUAAAUUUGAGAGUUUGGUACUAUACUAUGAGGGAAACAAUAGUAGAUCACUUAAUGUGUCUUCCUAUCAGUGGUGGCCUUAGGGUUGUUGGGGCCCCAGGCAAGAGAGUCAUUUGGAGCCCCUUAGAGGCAUAAGUUGAAGAAAGAACAACAUUUUUAAUAAGUUGAAAAAACAGAGUUUUUUAACAUUGCACUAUAUUCUAGGUUCAUUGCAUCUUCUAUUUUGGCUCAUCUACAACACAAAUUCACAGGACAUAAGCUAAUAGCCAGUGUGGGGCCCUGAGCGGUCCUCUCCUAAGGCUGCUACAGUUCCUGUGGAUCUAGAAGCAUAGGUUCCAACUUUAGCUCUGGACUUCAGCUAAAAGUUUACCAACUAUAAGCAGGUGCCUGGUCUUUCUGAAUAGAGUUUCAAAGGCAAAUGACUUGUGGGCAAGUAACAAUAGUGCCUUAACCAUGCUAGUCAGGAAGAUCUUUGAGUGUACUAAUACCUCUGCUGUACGUAUGAGUGUACUAUUACCUCUUUAAAAGUACAUACGAUUGUUAAAAGCAUCUCUUUUUAAUUCAAGGUAUUUUCAGUACUUAACCCUAAAAAGUGAUAACUAUUAUUCAAUAAAGACUGUUACAGUUAGAAAUAUAUGUAAUGAUGAAAAAUGUAACAAAGUCAACCUGGAAACCCUGUCCUGAUCACUAGGCUUGUGCCUAUUGUUUAUUGCUCAUAUUAUGGAAAUGUGUACCUAAAUUUGACUGUAUAACUAAGAUAGUCACAGCAGCUCAUACAUCAAAGAGCUUUAGGUCCAGAUCCUCCAAGAUAGAUAGAGAAAAGGGGUUGCUAUAUGUUUGAUGCAGAAAGUUAACUUCCACAAAAGCAGAAAGGAGUAACUCCAAAUACAUGCUGACAAAUCCUAAGAAAUAUAUUAAAAUGUGAAGAUGCAAAAAGUUUGGAGGAUUACGUUUUAAUCCCUUAAAAGAUCAGGUAAUAAUUCAAAGCCAACCAUCUAAUGUUUAUUUUUCUUUGUAAGAUUGGUUUGACAUAAACUUUAUUAAAUUCAUUAGCUAUCUAAUUAAAUACACCUACAGGACUAAAUUUGGAAAAGCCAGCCUGGACAGGGAUAAACGGAAAACUCCACUACUCCCCAUGCACUCCAGUCCCAUUGCACACCAGCAGA